AGGUCUUCACAGAUCCGGACGUGGGAACUAAUUGUUCCUGGCUGAGGAACCCAGGUACCAGUGCGACUCCGGAACCGCCUUCUCCUUUCACUUACCUAAAUAAUGGUCUUCACAGAUCCGGACGUGGGAACUAAUUGUUCCUGGCUGAGGAACCCAGGUACCAGUGCGACUCCGGAACCGCCUUCUCCUUUCACUUACCUAAAUAAUGGUU